rnacentral:pre_miRNA from 1 species
CGUGCAGCAGUGGGGUCCCUUGGCCUGGCCUGUGCCCUCUCGCAAUCCAGAACCCCUCAGGGAUUUCAGAGAGCCAGUUUUGGCCCAAUCCCGCAGGCCAGGCCGAGGGACUCCACUGGUGCAUG